rnacentral:rRNA from 1 species
AGUGAACGCUGGCGGUAGGCCUAACACAUGCAAGUCGAACGGCAGCACAGUAAGAGCUUGCUCUUACGGGUGGCGAGUGGCGGACGGGUGAGGAAUACGUCGGAAUCUACUUUUUCGUGGGGGAUAACGUAGGGAAACUUACGCUAAUACCGCAUACGACCUACGGGUGAAAGCAGGGGAUCUUCGGACCUUGCGCGAUUGAGUGAGCCGAUGUCGGAUUAGCUAGUUGGCGGGGUAAAGGCCCACCAAGGCGACGAUCCGUAGCUGGUCUGAGAGGAUGAUCAGCCACACUGGAACUGAGACACGGUCCAGACUCCUACGGGAGGCAGCAGUGGGGAAUAUUGGACAAUGGGCGCAAGCCUGAUCCAGCCAUACCGCGUGGGUGGAGAAGGCCUUCGGGUUGUAAAGCCCUUUUGUUGGGAAAGAAAAGCAGCAGGUUAAUACCCCGCUGUUCUGACGGUACCCAAAGAAUAAGCACCGGCUAACUUCGUG